CCUGCUGUGCCCCAGAGAUGUAAACUGCGAUGGGACUUUGCCUGGGAGAAAGACAUCAGCGUUGUGCAGAGUGGAGCACAGAAAUGUCCUUAUGCAGAUUUCUGACAGGGUCAGAGUGGAAUUUCUAAUUCCUGCAGCAGUGAAAUAAGCAGGGUAAUCUUGCAGAAGGGCAGAGCAUCAGUUCUGCUCAGGUUUGCUGUGUGUUGGGAGCUUCUCCUCGGUCAUCCAUAGAAGAUAUGAAGCAUCCUGCCUUCUCUCCCACUGUGACAAGAGCCGUGCCCCGAGAGCUGUAGAUGGAAAUGUAGUUCAAACCACAGCAUGACCGUCCAUUCGUCUGCUUAUUUGUGAAAGCUGUUGGUGAGGCAGUGGGAGGUGUGGGACUGAGGAUGGAGCAGGGAGAGCCAUGAGAGCAGCAGGAGACAGCGCUGGGAGCAUCAGAUGGGUGAGUGAACACAACAAAGCUCAUGUACUCACACUGUCAAUACUAAAUAUCUGUGUGUUAUGGAAUGAGAGGGACAAGCUAACUGUUGGUGGAACCGUUCUUGGAUAUCUAAGACAGUGAUCUUUUUGAUCGCUGUUUUUGCUGACAUGUGAAUCUAUUCUCUGGUGGUUCUGAUUCUUGAGGCGUGUGACAGCCCCACAGUGCCCCAACCUGCACUGCUUUGUCCUGCAGUGCCGUCCUGCCCUGCAGCGAUCUGUCCCUGCCUUCCAAAGUCACAAUGAUCUCUGCUGGUGUUAAACACUCCAAAUGGCAAAGCUGGAGCAAUUUUAAGGCUGCAUGAUAACGGAG
rnacentral:lncRNA from 1 species